GAGUUUGAUCCUGGCUCAGGAUGAACGCUAGCGGCAGGCCUAACACAUGCAAGUCGAGGGGUAACAGGAGAAAGCUUGCUUUCUCGCUGACGACCGGCGAACGGGUGCGUAACACGUAUGUAACCUACCUAUAACAGGAGAAUAGCCUACUGAAAAGUGGAUUAAUGCUCCAUAAUAUACAUUAAAGGCAUCUUUUUUGUAUUAAAGCUCCGGCGGUUAUAGAUGGACAUGCGGAACAUUAGCUUGUUGGUGAGGUAACGGCUCACCAAGGCAACGAUGCUUAGGGGGUCUUAGAGGAUGAUCCCCCACACUGGUACUGAGACACGGACCAGACUCCUACGGGAGGCAGCAGUGAGGAAUAUUGCGCAAUGGAGGAAACUCUGACGCAGCCAUGCCGCGUGCAGGAAGAAGGCCUUACGGGUUGUAAACUGCUUUUAUAUGCCAAGAAAACCUAGUACGUGUACUAGACUGACGGUAGCAUAUGAAUAAGGAUCGGCUAACUCCGUGCCAGCAGCCGCGGUAAUACGGAGGAUCCAAGCGUUAUCCGGAUUUGUUGGGUUUAAAGGGUUCGUAGGCGGAAGAUUAAGUCAGUGGUGAAAUCCUACAGCUCAACUGUAGAACUGCCAUUGAUACUGGUUUUCUUGAGUACAAAUGAGGUGGGCGGAAUGUGGCAUGUAGCGGUGAAAUGUAUAGAUAUGCCACAGAACACCAAUUGCGAAGGCAGCUCACUAAAAUGUAACUGACGCUGAGGAACGAAAGCGUGGGGAGCGAACGGGAUUAGAUACCCCGGUAGUCCACGCCGUAAACGAUGAUCACUCGAUGUUGGCGAUAUACUGUCAGCGUCCAAGCGAAAGCGUUAAGCGAUCCACCUGGGGAGUACGGUCGCAAGAUUGAAACUCAAAGGAAUUGACGGGGGCCCGCACAAGCGGUGGAGCAUGUGGUUUAAUUCGAUGAUACGCGAGGAACCUUACCUAGGCUUAAAUGUAGAUUGACGUACUGGGAAACUAGUGUUUCUUCGGACAACCUACAAGGUGCUGCAUGGUUGUCGUCAGCUCGUGCCGUGAGGUGUCGGGUUAAGUCCCAUAACGAGCGCAACCCCUAUCGUUAGUUGCUAACAUUUAGUUGAGGACUCUAACGAAACUGCCCGCGUAAGCGGAGAGGAAGGUGGGGAUGACGUCAAAUCAUCACGGCCCUUACGUCUAGGGCUACACACGUGCUACAAUGGUGAAUACAGAGGGAUGCCAACUGGUAACAGUGAGCAAAUCCACAAAAUUCAUCUCAGUUCGGAUUGAGGUCUGCAACUCGACCUCAUGAAGCUGGAAUCGCUAGUAAUCGUAUAUCAGCCAUGAUACGGUGAACACGUUCCCGGGCCUUGCACACACCGCCCGUC
rnacentral:rRNA from 1 species